rnacentral:rRNA from 1 species
CCUACGGGGGGCAGCAGUGAGGAAUAUUGGUCAAUGGACGAGAGUCUGAACCAGCCAAGUAGCGUGAAGGAUGACUGCCCUAUGGGUUGUAAACUUCUUUUAUAUGGGAAUAAAAUGUUCCACGUGUGGGAUUUUGUAUGUACCAUAUGAAUAAGGAUCGGCUAACUCCGUGCCAGCAGCCGCGGUAAUACGGAGGAUCCGAGCGUUAUCCGGAUUUAUUGGGUUUAAAGGGAGCGUAGGUGGAUUGUUAAGUCAGUUGUGAAAGUUUGCGGCUCAACCGUAAAAUUGCAGUUGAAACUGGCAGUCUUGAGUACAGUAGAGGUGGGCGGAAUUCGUGGUGUAGCGGUGAAAUGCUUAGAUAUCACGAAGAACUCCGAUUGCGAAGGCAGUUCACUGGACUGCAACUGACACUGAGGCUCGAAAGUGUGGGUAUCAAACAGGAUUAGAUACCCUAGUGUC